rnacentral:rRNA from 1 species
AAAGAUCGAAUAGGGAGGUUCAACGACAACGAGGCUGGCUUCCGUUGAUGCGCGAUACCCUGAAUGGGUCCUUUGCGGGGCUCAAUGAGAGGGCACACCAUCUUCGGCAAAUGUUCCGGCUACGUAGUUGUGCACUUCUCCCUAUGUAGAACGUCGCGACCCGUUGCGUGUCGGCCUACGGCUCGGGUUGUGGGACUGUCGCGUCACCCUAACCGGUGUACGCGGCAACACUCGAACGCCUGGCCGGCUGCGCGACGGUACACUGACGGUAUCGGGCCGCAACCAAUCCAUUCUUUUCGAAUGUUUGUGCGUCAGGCCCGCCGCAAGCUCGGUUAGAGUAAAUAUCCGGAUGUACGGACCUGGUGCCGUCUCCGGAGCUAAUCAGCUGUUUGCAGGCGGUGUCCUCGGACUGGCCAAGCUUUGUAUUACCGGUCAGCGACGCUACUGCUUUGGGUCCUCUCAGGACCCGUCUUGAAACACGGACCAAGGAGUCUAACAUGUGCGCGAGUCAUUGGGACUUGUAAACCUAAAGGCAUAAUGAAAGUAAAAGUCGUCCAUGCGUCGACCGAGGGAGGAUGGGCCGCGUCACGAUGCGGCCUCGCACUCCCGGGGCGUCUCGUUCUCAUUGCGAGAAGAG